UCUGCGACUCACGUUACUUAAUUUUUACAAGUGUGUCGGAGAACUACGGUGGCCUUCAGGUAACGUAAAAACUCGAAAGGCCCUCUCUAGUGCUAGUUGUUGUGAGAGUAGCGUAGCUCAUU